rnacentral:rRNA from 1 species
GACGAACGCUGGCGGCGUGCUUAACACAUGCAAGUCGAACGGUAAGGCCCUUCGGGGUACACGAGUGGCGAACGGGUGAGUAACACGUGGGUGAUCUGCCCUGCACUUCGGGAUAAGCCUGGGAAACUGGGUCUAAUACCGGAUAGGACUCCGGACUGCAUGGUCUGGGGUGGAAAGCUUUUGCGGUGUGGGAUGGGCCCGCGGCCUAUCAGCUUGUUGGUGGGGUGAUGGCCUACCAAGGCGACGACGGGUAGCCGGCCUGAGAGGGUGACCGGCCACAGUGGGACUGAGAUACGGCCAAGACUCCUACGGGAGGCAGCAGUGGGGAAUAUUGGACAAUGGGCGCAAGCCUGAUGCAGCGACGCCGCGUGAGGGAUGACGGCCUUCGGGUUGUAAACCUCUUUCAGCAUCGACGAAGCGAAAGUGACGGUAGGUGCAGAAGAAGGACCGGCCAACUACGUGCCAGCCGCCGCAGUAA